AAUACACUGGUGGCGACCGGCGCACGGGUGAGUAACACGUGUGCAACCAACCCCGUACCGGGAGAUAACCCGCGGAAACGUGGACUAACAUCCCAUAAGGACUCUAGAGCCGCAUGGCUCUGGAUUUAAAAUUCCGGUGGUACGGGACGGGCACGCGCGACAUUAGGUAGUUGGCGGGGUAAGGGCCCACCAAGCCGACGAUGUCUAGGGGUUCUGAGAGGAAGGUCCCCCACACUGGAACUGAGACACGGUCCAG
rnacentral:rRNA from 1 species